GAUGAACGCUGACAGAAUGCUUAACACAUGCAAGUCAACUUGAACUUCGGUUUGGGUGGCGGACGGGUGAGUAACGCGUAAAGAACUUGCCUCACAGAUAGGGACAACAUUUGGAAACGAAUGCUAAUACCUGAUAUUAUGAUUAUAUGGCAUCGUAUAAUUAUGAAAGCUAUAUGCGCUGUGAGAGAGCUUUGCGUCCCAUGAGCUAGUUGGAGAGGUAACGGCUCACCAAGGCGAGGAUGGGUAGCCGGCCUGAGAGGGUGAUCGGCCACAAGGGGACUGAGACACGGCCCUUACUCCUACGGGAGGCAGCAGUGGGGAAUAUUGGACAAUGGACCAAGAGUCUGAUCCAGCAAUUCUGUGUGCACGAUGAAGUUUUUCGGAAUGUAAAGUGCUUUCAGUUGGGAAGAAAAAAAUGACGGUACCAACAGAAGAAGUGACGGCUAAAUACGUG
rnacentral:rRNA from 1 species